ACUGCUCAGUAACACGUGGCUAAUCUGCCCUUAGGACGAGAACAACCCCGGGAAACUGGGGCUAACUCUUGAUAGGUGAAGAACUCUGGAAUGAGUCUUCGCCUAAAAAGAUUCACGUUAUCCUCGUGAAUUUGCCUAAGGAUGAGGCCGCGACCGAUCAGGUUGUUGGCGAGGUAAUGGCUCACCAAGCCUUUUACCGGUGCGGGCCGUGGGAGCGGGAGCCCGGAGAUGGGUACUGAGACAAGGACCCAGGCCCUACGGGGCGCAGCAGUCGCGAAACCUUUGCAAUAAGCGAAAGCUUGACAGGGCUAUCCCGAGUGCCAUCCGCUGAGGAAGGCUUUUACCCAGUCUAGAACGCUGGGGGAAUAAGGAGAGGGCAAGUCUGGUGUCAGCCGCCGCGGUAAUACCAGCUCUCCGAGUGGUGUGGAUGUUUAUUGGGCCUAAAGCAUCCGUAGCUGGCUAAGUUAGUCCCUUGUUAAAUCCACCGAAUUAAUCGUUGGAUUGCGGGGGAUACUGCUUGGCUAGGGGACGAGAGAGGCAGACGGUAUUUUCGGGGUAGGGGUGAAAUCCUAUAAUCCCGGGAAGACCACCAGUGGCGAAGGCUGUCUGCUAGAACGCGCCCGACGGUGAGGGAUGAAAGCUGGGGGAGCGAACCGGAUUAGAUACCCGGGUAGUCCCAGCUGUAAACGAUGCAGGCUAGGUGUUUGGACGGCCACGUGCCGUUCUAGUGCCGCAGGGAAGCUGUUAAGCCUGCCGCCUGGGGAGUACGAUCGCAAGAUUGAAACUUAAAGGAAUUGGCGGGGGAGCAC
rnacentral:rRNA from 1 species